AUGAAGCAAAGCUUCGUAGGCCCAGGGCGGGAGCCACAGAUCGCGGACGGGAGCCCACUUCAGGCCCACACGCCGCAGCCAAGUCACAAAAAUGAGAUCUUUGCCGUUUUUCUGGUUUUUAUUUUCUACCACCCUGAGGCGAAUUCGCAGAAGAUCCAUCAGACUCCGCAGGCUGUCUCCGCGCCUCCAGGGAAGGAUGUCCGACUGAGCUGCACGCUAUCCGGAGACAGUAGCGAUCCGUACAUGUACUGGUACCGGCAAUACCCGGGAGAGGCUCCACAGUACCUGUUCCGGUCCACUGGCACAAAGAUAGUAACUCCGGACAAAGCCGUGGAGGGGUUCAUCGCCAAGAGGCCUGAGGAAAGACCUUCAUUCUAACA